CCUACGGGGUGCAGCAGUGAGGAAUAUUGGGCAAUGGAGGAAACUCUGACCCAGCCAUGCCGCGUGAGUGAAGAAGGUUUUCGAAUUGUAAAGCUCUUGCGGAGGGGAAGAGGAUGACGGUAACAGCGAAAGAAGCCCCGGCAAACUUCGUGCCAGCAGCCGCGGUAAUACGAAGGGGGCAAGCGUUGUUCGGAAUUACUGGGCGUAAAGGGGGUGUAGGCGGGAAAGUAAGAUAGUGGUGAAAUGCCUGCGCUCCACUUGGGAACUGCCAUUAUAACUAUUGUUCUAGAGUGACAGAGAGGCUAUUGGACUCCCCAGUGUAGCGGUGACCUUCGUCGUUAUUGG
rnacentral:rRNA from 1 species